CGGGUGAGUAAUGUCUGGGAAACUGCCUGAUGGAGGGGGAUAACUACUGGAAACGGUAGCUAAUACCGCAUAACGUCGCAAGACCAAAGAGGGGGACCUUCGGGCCUCUUGCCAUCGGAUGUGCCCAGAUGGGAUUAGCUAGUAGGUGGGGUAGCGGCUCACCUAGGCGACGAUCCCUAGCUGGUCUGAGAGGAUGACCAGCCACACUGGAACUGAGACACGGUCCAG
rnacentral:rRNA from 1 species